rnacentral:lncRNA from 1 species
CACAACCCCAAAUACAUUGCCUCACUUUUUUUUUCCCUAGUGGUGCAAUCUUCUGAGAUUUGGGGGAGUACAGAGUUUUAUUAGUGUUCUUUCAACAACCUAAUUUAAUGGUAGCCACUCCUAGGAUAGCUCUGAGUCAUUCUUAAAGCUUCAUACAACUCAGCUAACACCUCGUCUUUCUCUCUUCUUUCUUUUCCUCUCUCUCUUUUUUGUUUUUCCUUUUUUUUUUUUGUCCUGUGUGAUUCUUUUUCCCUACAGAUCUAUCUUUGGAAUUGAUUGAGAAGAACUGAUGAAUUGGGCUUCUUGGCUUCUCUGCUCUUCACGUCUAUGGGUGAUUUUGAAGAUCUUGGCCUAGCAAGAUGGCAGCGGGUUUUAAAAUGGGAUUCCCACGAAGUUAACACUUUUUCAGUGCAGAAGUAUGAGCUUCCCAAGAAGAGAUUCUUGUGGGUGACUGAUAGAAUCAGUUCUCUUCUCCUUGCUGACCUGCCACAGUGUCUGCCCUGAGCCUUCUGAUGUCUCCAUGGAGAAAUGGGUGAGCCCAACUUUAUGGUAGUUCAUCUAAAAUAUGUGUUUCUAAAUAUAUUUAGUGUGUGGUGAGACUUCCAAUACACCAUGGCCACCAGCAGCAGCCUUGUGUACCAUACUUUCUCAAGCCAUGAAAGAUGCUUUCUCUUUCUGAGUAGGACCAAUACUUUGUAGCAUUUAAC